CCCAGACCUGUUUGUGCUUUCAGAGGGAAACAGGGUGGUUGACACCAGGCUUUAACUUAGUCUGGUCCCAGACCUGUUUGUGCUUUCAGAGGGAAACAGGGUGGUUGACACCAGGCUUUAACUUAGUCUGGUCCCAGACCUGUGUAUGCUGUCAUGACAACUUCUUGUUGCCAUUGUCCUGCGGCAGGUGGCUUCAUUCCUAGACGACAUGCAGUCCUCAACCAGUCAAUGCAGACAGAAUCAUCGCACUAUCUGAUGUAAGACAAUGCCUUGUCGGAGACGGCACGACCUUAUCUGGAACCAGGCUAAGGUCAAUGACAACAGGACCAGAUCUGGAACCAGGUUUAUGUCAACAGAACCAGAUCUGGAACCAGGUUUAUGUCAAUGACAACAGGACCAGAUCUGGGACCAGGUCAAUGUCUACAGGACCAGAUCUGGAACCAGGUCAAUGACAACAGGACCAGAUCUGGGACCAGGUUUAUGAUAACAGGACCAGAUCUGGAACCAGGUUUAUGAUAACAGGACCAGAUCUGGAACCAGGUUUAUGAUAACAGGACCAGAUCUGGGACCAGGUUUAUGAUAACAGGACCAGAUCUGGAACCAGGUUAAGGUCAAGAGGGUGGAAGAUACAAGGCUGUUUGUUUCUUCAGCGGAGAAUAAAACUUGUAAAAAAUACAACUGGAGUCUUGAGUUUUCUCUCUUUCUUUAUCUUUGUCCAUUUAUUUCUCUCUCUUUUCUCGU
rnacentral:lncRNA from 1 species